AACGAACGCCGGCGGCAGGCUUAACACAUGCAAGUCGAACGGUCUCUUCGGAGGCAGUGGCAGACGGGUGAGUAACGCGUGGGAAUCUACCCAGUUCUACGGAAUAACGCAGGGAAACUUGCGCUAAUACCGUAUACGCCCUACGGGGGAAAGAUUUAUCGGAAUUGGAUGAGCCCGCGUAAGAUUAGCUAGUUGGUGAGGUAAUGGCUCACCAAGGCGACGAUCUUUAGCUGGUCUGAGAGGAUGAUCAGCCACACUGGGACUGAGACACGGCCCAGACUCCUACGGGAGGCAGAAGUGGGGAAUAUUGGACAAUGGGCGCAAGCCCGAUCCAGCCAUGCCGCGUGAGUGAUGAAGGCCUUAGGGUUGUAAAGCUCUUUCAGUAGGGAAGAUAAUGACGGUACCUACAGAAGAAGCCCCGGCUAACUUCGUGCCAGCCGCCGCCGUAAUAC
rnacentral:rRNA from 1 species